CCUACGGGAGGCAGCAGUGAGGAAUAUUGGUCAAUGGGCGCGAGCCUGAACCAGCCAAGUAGCGUGAAGGAUGACUGCCCUACGGGUUGUAAACUUCUUUUAUAAAGGAAUAAAGUGAGGCACGUGUGCCUUUUUGUAUGUACUUUAUGAAUAAGGAUCGGCUAACCCCGUGCCAGCCGCCGCGGUAAUACGGAGGAACCGAGCGUUAUCCGGAUGUAUUGGGUUUAAAGGGAGCGUAGAUGGGUUUUUAAGUCAGUUGUGAAAGUUUGCGGCUCAACCGUAAAAUUGCAAUUGAUACUGGCAGUCUUGAGUACAGUAGAGGUAGGCGGAAUUCGUGGUGUAGCGGUGAAAUGCGUAGAGAUCAAGAAGAACUCUGAUUGCGAAGGCAGCUUACUAGA
rnacentral:rRNA from 1 species